rnacentral:rRNA from 2 species
AAACCAACAGGGAUUGCCCUAGUAACGGCGAGUGAAGCGGCAACAGCUCAAAUUUGAAAUCUGGCCUUCGGGUCCGAGUUGUAAUUUGUAGAGGAUGCUUUUGGCGCGGUGCCUUCCGAGUUCCCUGGAACGGGACGCCUUAGAGGGUGAGAGCCCCGUACGGUUGGACACCAAGCCUCUGUAAAGCUCCUUCGACGAGUCGAGUAGUUUGGGAAUGCUGCUCUAAAUGGGAGGUAAAUUUCUUCUAAAGCUAAAUAUUGGCCAGAGACCGAUAGCGCACAAGUAGAGUGAUCGAAAGAUGAAAAGCACUUUGAAAAGAGGGUUAAAUAGCACGUGAAAUUGUUGAAAGGGAAGCGUUUGCGACCAGACCUUUUCUUGGCGGAUCAUCCGGUGUUAUCACCGGUGCACUUCGCCAAGUUGAGGCCAGCAUCGGUUUUUGUAGGGGGAUAAAAGCCUGGGGAAUGUGGCUCCUUCGGGAGUGUUAUAGCCCCUCGCAUAAUACCCUUACGGGGACCGAGGACCGCGCUUUAUGCAAGGAUGCUGGCGUAAUGGUCGUCAACGAC